AGUGAACGCUGGCGGUAGGCCUAACACAUGCAAGUCGAACGGCAGCACAGUAAGAGCUUGCUCUUACGGGUGGCGAGUGGCGGACGGGUGAGGAAUACAUCGGAAUCUACUUUUUCGUGGGGGAUAACGUAGGGAAACUUACGCUAAUACCGCAUACGACCUACGGGUGAAAGCAGGGGAUCUUCGGACCUUGCGCGAUUGAAUGAGCCGAUGUCGGAUUAGCUAGUUGGCGGGGUAAAGGCCUACUAAGGCGACGAUCCGUAGCUGGUCUGAGAGGAUGAUCAGCCACACUGGAACUGAGACACGGUCCAGACUCCUACGGGAGGCAGCAGUGGGGAAUAUUGGACAAUGGGCGCAAGCCUGAUCCAGCCAUACCGCGUGGGUGAAGAAGGCCUUCGGGUUGUAAAGCCCUUUUGUUGGGAAAGAAAAGCAGCAGGUUAAUACCCCGCUGUGCUGACGGUACCCAAAGAAUAAGCACCGGCUAACUUCGUG
rnacentral:rRNA from 1 species